CUUGUAUGUACACAGGGAGGGGAGGGGACAUGGGGUCACCCCCUGCUCCUGUGCUUUCCUCAUGCUCCUGACAUGCUGGAAAAAGCAAAAGCAUCUCCCUCUCUCUCACCUCUAGCUCUGUUUUUCUGCUCCAUCAUCCGAGGAAUAGACUUGCGAGGUGAAUGGAGAAUGACCUCAGCCUUGUGCUUGGGCAGGUGUGUGUUGGAGAUGGAUUUUGUAACCAGCAGUGACCUGGGAGAUCAAGCAAGCUCUGGACACUGCAGCUCAGAAUGAUGCUAUUGCAACGUGAUCAAUCUGCAUCAGCAAAUCUGCAGGAAAGACUGGAGUUUUCCAUGAAUUGCAGGUUCAACAUGAGGCAACUCUGUCUAUAUGAUGAAAAAAGAAAGAGGUAAGUGUUACAGUGGGGAAUAUAGAAAUCUGUUUAGCCUGCAGCACAAAUUAAAUAUUCCUGCUGCUCUGGUUGGCACUGGAAGGGCCUCUGCUGCAGCUCUAAGAUUGAUUUUUAUAUGCUGUACUUCAAAGCAAAUGGAAUCAGCUGGAGGGAACCCAUAGGAGAACACCGCUGCUGACACAUCUCAGAAACAUGGGCUCCACAGGAGGACUGAAAUAACUGGGUCAACAGAGUGUACAGAAUGAAGGACUUAUACAGCCUUCAAAUUUGUUAAAAGUCUCUUUGAAAAGAAAAACUUCCUUGACAUGUCUGUAGGACAGGAAAUGCACAGCUUAACUUGCAGUUACUGGAGGAUGUUAUAUAUGUAUUUAACAAGCCCUUGUGGGGCUGGAAAAUGUACAAUUGACUCUUCCUUGGGACAAGGGUGAUUUGGAUAAGCUGCCAAGUUCCUCCUGGUCCUCUUUUACAAUAGUGCAAAUACUGACAUACAGUUCUAUUGUUGAUAUCUUUUGCUAUAUUUGCCAUAAAAUUGAGUUUUCGAAUCACAAAUGCUUUUAAAAAUUGUCAUUGGAUUCUGGGUCCAUAUUUACUAUUGCACAAGUAAGCUACUCUGCUUACACUUGUGUUGACUCUACACCACAUGCCAUGGUUGCUGAAAAUACAGUAAGUUCCUUUGGUUUUGAGGUCACUAUUCCAGGGCCCUGCCAGCACAUUUUAGAGAUGUACAUUUCAUUUCUCUCAUGCUCUAGCUUUGACCCCAAGCUUCUACUGACAAAGGUGCUAAUGUAUGCUAAUAUAUGCAUGCACCUCUAAACAUCUUGAAUAAAACCAGUACUUGAAUAAAAC
rnacentral:lncRNA from 1 species